rnacentral:lncRNA from 1 species
CUAGUUUAGAGUUUGGAGCAUUUGACUUUUGCGUAUCAUAUUCUGUAUCAUAGCCUCCAUCAUGUUCUGUAUCAUGCUCUGCAUCAUGCUGCUCCCUUGGAAGGUCGGCUCCUCGACCGUAACUUUCACUCAACUUGUGCUCUGCUUGUGUCAGUACAUGAUAGCUUGAUACCAGUUCCUUGUAUUGCUGCUGCAGUUGUGCAAAUUGCAAUAUGCAGGGCUUCCUAGUCCGAAUUUCUAAUGACAACUAAUUCAGAGUUUCAGACUGAAUCUCCAUUUGCCUCUGAUCUGAGCAUGUGAUUGACAAAAUGUACCUUUUCAUAAUUUUAGUGUUACUCUGAAAGUUUGAACCUGUUUGAAUCACAACUUUACUUUGUCUUCAUUACUCAGGGACUUUGAAACUUCUCUUGUUAUUUAGCCUCAUAUACUGGAUGCUACUCAUUUACUGUUCAAGCCUAAUUACCCAACCGAUGUUAUAGUAUAGGGCUCAUGUCGAUGCUGUAGUAUAGGCAUGUUAGCUGUCUAUAUGUAAUCUAACUUGCAUAGUGUGUGUGUAUGGCAUGCAGGGAGGUGGUGAUCUGGUGAACAAUAUAUCCCU